rnacentral:lncRNA from 10 species
AAACAGAGAUGAGGGAAGGUGAAAGAGUUCCUGGUAAUGGGAAAGAACUUGACAAUUAUGGUCGUUCACUUGUGUCUCAGUUGCAUAUUUUGCCCGACUACAAGGAAGAAGCGUGAAAAUGCCCAUGUUUUCUUUUGACAGAUGAACUUUACCAUUUCAAGUGAAAGGAACAUAAACUCAAGGGACCCCUUCUGCCCUGCCGCACCCUCCUGUGGGGGUGGAGCAGCCAUCUGGAAGCAGUGAGGAUGAAACCCACCCUUAGGAUGGUGGCGUGGAAGACAGAAGGUACCCAGGACUCUGGGCACACGGAGCCCCCACCAGCCACGCACAGCCUGCCUCUGUGCCACUCAGGAUGUGAGGAAAACAAGCCUCCACCUGGGCAAGCCACUAAGUUGGACUUCUAUGACACGCAGGUGAAGGCACUCCCUAAUUAGGUUUCUCAGUGUUAUUGAUGUUAUGGGGGGAACAAUUCUGGAUUUUGUGGUUUCACACAUUAUUGAGGCAAGAGCCCAUGGCUCUCAGACCCUAAAUGCCAACAGCAUCCUUCAACUGAAAACAACCUUACACGUUCCCAAACUGCCUUCAGUUAUUCUUUGCUAUUUGAAUUAUCUCUGGAAACCAUGUCCAGCUGCAUUAGAAAUUAUUUUCCUAGCAUUAAAAAUCAAAGUCAACUACUCUGAACGUUAAAGACUCCAACUCUCCUUCUAUCUAGGCUCGAAUAACUAAGGACAGCACAAGUUAAAUCAAACAACACUGGGGAAGUUGCCUUGCUUCCAGAGCUUUUCAAAAUGCACUCACAGUGGCAUUCAACUCUUGCUUGUCAUUAUUAAUUUACGGCUGAACUACCUGAUUGGAAACACUAUGUUAAAAUGCCAAUUAUUAGCCCCAACCAAAUGAUGGUCUAAAUACGGAUUCAAGGGCUGGGCGCAGUGGCUCAC